GGGGUUGUGGCUCAGUGGUAGAGCGCUUAUCUCCCAUGUAUGAGGCACUGGGUUAGAUCCUCAGCACCA
rnacentral:tRNA from 1 species